rnacentral:rRNA from 2 species
CUCAGGACGAACGCUGGCGGCGUGCCUAAUACAUGCAAGUCGAACGAACUCUGGUAUUGAUUGGUGCUUGCAUCAUGAUUUACAUUUGAGUGAGUGGCGAACUGGUGAGUAACACGUGGGAAACCUGCCCAGAAGCGGGGGAUAACACCUGGAAACAGAUGCUAAUACCGCAUAACAACUUGGACCGCAUGGUCCGAGUUUGAAAGAUGGCUUCGGCUAUCACUUUUGGAUGGUCCCGCGGCGUAUUAGCUAGAUGGUGGGGUAACGGCUCACCAUGGCAAUGAUACGUAGCCGACCUGAGAGGGUAAUCGGCCACAUUGGGACUGAGACACGGCCCAAACUCCUACGGGAGGCAGCAGUAGGGAAUCUUCCACAAUGGACGAAAGUCUGAUGGAGCAACGCCGCGUGAGUGAAGAAGGGUUUCGGCUCGUAAAACUCUGUUGUUAAAGAAGAACAUAUCUGAGAGUAACUGUUCAGGUAUUGACGGUAUUUAACCAGAAAGCCACGGCUAACUACGUGCCAGCAGCCGCGGUAAUACGUAGGUGGCAAGCGUUGUCCGGAUUUAUUGGGCGUAAAGCGAGCGCAGGCGGUUUUUUAAGUCUGAUGUGAAAGCCUUCGGCUCAACCGAAGAAGUGCAUCGGAAACUGGGAAACUUGAGUGCAGAAGAGGACAGUGGAACUCCAUGUGUAGCGGUGAAAUGCGUAGAUAUAUGGAAGAACACCAGUGGCGAAGGCGGCUGUCUGGUCUGUAACUGACGCUGAGGCUCGAAAGUAUGGGUAGCAAACAGGAUUAGAUACCCUGGUAGUCCAUACCGUAAACGAUGAAUGCUAAGUGUUGGAGGGUUUCCGCCCUUCAGUGCUGCAGCUAACGCAUUAAGCAUUCCGCCUGGGGAGUACGGCCGCAAGGCUGAAACUCAAAGGAAUUGACGGGGGCCCGCACAAGCGGUGGAGCAUGUGGUUUAAUUCGAAGCUACGCGAAGAACCUUACCAGGUCUUGACAUACUAUGCAAAUCUAAGAGAUUAGACGUUCCCUUCGGGGACAUGGAUACAGGUGGUGCAUGGUUGUCGUCAGCUCGUGUCGUGAGAUGUUGGGUUAAGUCCCGCAACGAGCGCAACCCUUAUUAUCAGUUGCCAGCAUUAAGUUGGGCACUCUGGUGAGACUGCCGGUGACAAACCGGAGGAAGGUGGGGAUGACGUCAAAUCAUCAUGCCCCUUAUGACCUGGGCUACACACGUGCUACAAUGGAUGGUACAACGAGUUGCGAACUCGCGAGAGUAAGCUAAUCUCUUAAAGCCAUUCUCAGUUCGGAUUGUAGGCUGCAACUCGCCUACAUGAAGUCGGAAUCGCUAGUAAUCGCGGAUCAGCAUGCCGCGGGUGAAUACGUUCCCGGGCCUUGUACACACCGCCCGUCACACCAUGAGAGUUUGUAACACCCAAAGUCGGUGGGGUAACCUUUUAGGAACCAGCCGCCUAAGGNGGGACAGAUGAUUAGGGUGAAGUC